UUUUAAUUUCAUAAAUUCUUCUUUUUUUUGUUUUUUUAUAUAUAUUUAUGUUGAAUAUACGAUGAGAACGAUGGGCCACCAUACUAUAGGCUUUGUACUCGCAGAUCGCAAGCACAUAACAUGACAUAAUAUCAAAUGACAGUUUAGACAUAGUGACACAAAAUUUACUGUAUGAUUCCUCCGCAAAUAAUAUAGCGAGAAUGGCAAAUGCAUUUUAGAACAUAACACAACAGAAAUAUAUAAUGUAACGUCCAUUUUUGGUAACUUGGUUUUAGUUCACUAUUAGCGCAAACGGUAAGCUUGGAAAAUCAUGAUUUUCGCCAAAACAAACAGUAUCGACCCAAUGCAAAUUCCAUUGCAAUUUAAUACGAUGUUUAUUAUUGUUGCGCAAAUAGCAACCUAGCUCAUUUUAAAUAUUA